GUAGAAAUCAGAACGUUAUAAUCUUUAGUUUUAUUAAUUAGAGGACAAUGACCCAAUUCAACGGUGGAUUUCGAGGAAGACGGUGCUCCGAACAUAUACUCAGUGUUCCUAAAUUAUAAUACACAUUUUUUUCGAU
rnacentral:lncRNA from 1 species